CAUUCGGAAAAUCCACUGUUCACUCUUUUGCUCCCAUCGAUACACAGCGGCAGAGCGGCGGACGAUUUCUCCAACCACAGGCGACGGCACCCCCAACAAACCACUCUCUUCCACUUCUCCUUCUUUUUUCUUCUUUUUCUUCUUUUUCUUCUUUUUCUUCUUCUUCUUCUCCUCCUUCCUCUGUUUUCAUCUUUGUCAGUCACCGCCGCUGCUUCGCGCAUUGACGGUUUCUCCGCUCGCCCGUACUCCCUCUCUUUCUUCUCUCUCUCUUCUUCCUUCCCCUUUUUUGUUCUUCUUCUUCCUCUUUCCUUUUCUUUCUCGGAUUCACCCUCCCCUGUUACUCCCCGCCGCUGCAACUUCGAGCAACGGCGUUUGCGCCGUUCGUUCUUUCCCUUCUCCCUCUUACCAUUACCGUCAAGACCGGAAAUCGAUCAGAUCCAUAAUCGUCGCUCUCUCUCUCUAGAUCAAACCAGCAUUUGUUCAUCUUUGAAACGGCAGCUGCGAGCAAAGGUUCCAACAUCGAAUAACAGCAGCGACCUCCGGCCAGAUCUCUCUAUUACUCUCUCCUCCUUCUCAUCGGUUCCCUGUCUUUCAGCUGAAACUGUUGAUCGCCUUCCACUUUGGACAUCCAGCAGAGGCGGCGGCAACCAUCCCAUCUGCUUUCCAUCGAGAUUCCUAAUUUCAAGCACCGAACACCAUGUCUGUUUGAGGCAAGAAGAUAAACAACAGCACCCCUGUUCCAGCGAUCGAACUCGGGCUAAGAUCCGUUCUGAAACGCACUCCCUCAUUCUCAUCGUGUCAUCCAAAGAAAAAACUUCGAAGCCGAAAUAUUCCAUUGCAGCAUUCUAAGUUCAAGCUACAUUUCAGUCAGAAUUCAAGGAGUUUUGUAGUGCAUAGGGAUCCAAAGGCAGCUAACUGCUAGCACACCACAACAAAAUUGUGUGGUUGAGCGCAAAAAUAGGACCAUUGUUGAAGCAGCAAGAAGCAUGCUACAAUAUAAAGGGCUACCAAAUGAAUAUUGGGCUGAAGUAGUAGCAACCACAGUUUACUUGAUAAAUUGAUUUCUCACAACAGCAAUCAAAGGUAGAACUCCAUAUGAAGCUUGGAUAGGAAGAAAACCCAAUGUAAGUCAUCUAAAAAUUUUUUGGUUCUAUAGCCUAUGCAUUUGUACAUUCAGAACAAAGGAAAAAAUUAGAUGCUAAAGUACAAAAUGCACUUUCAUUGGGUAUAGUGAGGAGACGAGAGGCUAUAAACUCUAUAAUCAUACCUCUAAAAGAUUAAUCAUAAGUCGUGAUGUGAUUUUUGAUGAAAAUAAAGCUUGGAAUUGGGAAACUAAUCAAAAUGCGCCUUUAUGUAUUGAACCAAAUGAAACCUUUAUUGAGCCUAUCCAUGAUAUAACACCAUCUGAUUCUCCUCCUUCAAUCCCUUCAAGGAAGAUGAAAAGACUUGAUGAGAUAUAUGCUUCUUGUGAAUUUGCUUUAUGUGCUAUGGAACCUAAUUGUUUUGAAGAUGCAAUGACAAAAGAAGAAUGGUGUAAUGCAAUGCAAGAAGAGAUAGAUGCUAUUGUGAAAAAAGACACAUGGACAUUGGUUGAUCUACCUCAUGGUAAAGAAGCCAUUGGAUUGAAAUGGAUAUUCAAGCCCAAAUUUAAUUUAGAUGGAAGUCUUCAAAGGCACAAGGCACGCUUAAUUGCAAAGGGGUAUGCACAACAGCAAUGUAUUGAUUUUUUUGAAACUUUUGGGAUAUGACAUGGUAGAAGGAAGAAAAAAAGCAGAAAGAGAUGCAUUGUUAAAAUUUACAUGAUAUGUAUAUUUUAUUCUAAUGGAUGAAGUAUGAAAUUGUAAAGGUAGCAUAUUAUAUGCUUAUGAAAGUUCUUGAUCAAGAAUUACAAAAGUUUAAAUUAUGUUGCAUUUUGGAUUUUGGUACA